UACCAGACUCCUACGGGAGGCAGCAGUGGGGAAUAUUGCACAAUGGGGGAAACCCUGAUGCAGCGACGCCGCGUGGAGGAAGAAGGUCUUCGGAUUGUAAACUCCUGUCCUUGGGGACGAUAAUGACGGUACCCAAGGAGGAAGCACCGGCUAACUCCGUGCCAGCAGCCGCGGUAAUACGGAGGGUGCAAGCGUUACUCGGAAUCACUGGGCGUAAAGAGCGCGUAGGCGGGAUAGCAAGUCAGAUGUGAAAUCCUAUGGCUUAACCAUAGAACUGCAUUUGAAACUGUUAUUCUAGAGUAUGAGAGAGGUAGGUGGAAUUCUUGGUGUAGGGGUAAAAUCCGUAGAGAUCAAGAGGAAUACUCAUUGCGAAGGCGACCUGCUAGAACAUAACUGACGCUGAUGCGCGAAAGCGUGGGGAGCAAACAGGAUUAGAUACCCCCGUA
rnacentral:rRNA from 1 species